rnacentral:rRNA from 1 species
UACGAAGGGUGCAAGCGUUACUCGGAAUUACUGGGCGUAAAGCGUGCGUAGGUGGUUUGUUAAGUCUGAUGUGAAAGCCCCGGGCUCAACCUGGGAAUUGCAUUGGAUACUGGCGGGCUAGAGUGCGGUAGAGGGUAGUGGAAUUCCCGGUGUAGCAGUGAAAUGCGUAGAUAUCAGGAGGAACACCUGUGGUGUAGACAGCUUACUGGACCACUUCUGACGCUGAGACACGAAAGCGUGGGUAGCAAACAGG